GACGAACGCUGGCGGCGUGCUUAACACAUGCAAGUCGAACGGAAAGGCACUGCUUUUGUGGGGUGCUCGAGUGGCGAACGGGUGAGUAACACGUGAGUAACCUGCUCUUGACUUUGGGAUAACUUCAGGUAACUGGGGCUAAUACCGGAUAGGAGCUCCUGCUGCAUGGUGGGGGUUGGAAAGUUUCGGCGGUUGGGGAUGGACUCGCGGCUUAUCAGCUUGUUGGUGGGGUAGUGGCUUACCAAGGCUUUGACGGGUAGCCGGCCUGAGAGGGUGACCGGCCACAUGGGGACUGAGGGACGGACCAGACUCCAACGGGGGGCAGCGGUGGGGAGUAUUGCACAGUGGGCGGAAGCCUGAUGCAGCAACGCCGCGGGCGGAAUGACGGCCUUCGGGUUGUGAACCGCUUUCGCCUGUGACGAAGCGGGAGUGACGGUAAUGGGUAAAUAAGCACCGGCUAACUACGUG
rnacentral:rRNA from 1 species